UACAGAGGUCUCAAGCGUUGUUCGGAUUCAUUGGGCGUAAAGGGUGCGUAGGUGGCGUGGUAAGUCGGGUGUGAAAUUUCGGAGCUUAACUCCGAAACUGCAUUCGAUACUGCUGUGCUUGAGGACUGGAGAGGAGACUGGAAUUUACGGUGUAGCAGUGAAAUGCGUAGAGAUCGUAAGGAAGACCAGUGGCGAAGGCGGGUCACUGGGCCGCAACUGACGCUGAGGAGCGAAAGCAUGGGGAGCGAACAGG
rnacentral:rRNA from 1 species